rnacentral:rRNA from 1 species
AGCAGCCGCGGUAAUUCCAGCUCCAAUAGCGUAUAUUAAAGUUGUUGCAGUUAAAAAGCUCGUAGUUGAAUUUCGGAAUCCAUCCGUCGGUCGGGCUUCACGGUCCGCACUGGUGUGAUGGAUUCCUACCUUCUGAAUAACCAGCAUGUCAUUAAUUUGGUGCGUUGGGGAAGCAGGACUGUUACCUUGAAAAAAUUAGAGUGCUUAAAGCAGGCUAGUGCCUGAAUACAUUAGCAUGGAAUAAUGAAAUAGGACGGCAUGGUUCUAUUUUGUUGGUUUCUAGGAUCACCGUAAUGAUUAAUAGGGAUAGCUGGGGGCAUUAGUAUUCAAUUGUCAGAGGUGAAAUUCUUGGAUUUAUUGAAGACUAACUUCUGCGAAAGCAUUUGCCAAGGAUGUUUUCAUUAAUCAAGAACGAAAGUUAGGGGAUCGAAGACGAUCAGAUACCGUCGUAGUCUUAAACCAUAAACUAUGCCGACUAGGGAUCGGACGAUGUUAAUUUUUAANG